UGAGGCAGGAGAAUUGCUUGAACCCAGGAGGUGAAGGCUGCAGUGAGCCGAGAUCGUGCCACUGCACUCCAGCCUGGGCGACAGAGCGAGACUCCGUCUC
rnacentral:miRNA from 1 species